rnacentral:tRNA from 1 species
AGAGAGUUAGUCUAACAAAGACAGUUGAUUUCGGCUCAACAAAUCAUAGUCAUACCCUAUGACCCUCUU